rnacentral:rRNA from 1 species
GACAGAGGGUGCGAACGUUGUUCGGAAUUACUGGGCGUAAAGCGCGCGUAGGCGGCUUUGUAAGUUAGAGGUGAAAGCCCGGGGCUCAACUCCGGAAUUGCCUUUAAGACUGCAUCGCUAGAAUUGUGGAGAGGUAAGUGGAAUUCCGAGUGUAGAGGUGAAAUUCGUAGAUAUUCGGAAGAACACCAGUGGCGAAGGCGACUUACUGGACACAUAUUGACGCUGAGGUGCGAAAGCGUGGGGAGCAAACAGG